AUGACGACCAACCGGAAUCAUCGGGCAACGCUCCAUGUCGUCGGUGUUCACCUCCAUCUACACAAUACAACAAACAAUAAAUUGCGUGCCUCACCGGUGCCAGCAGAUGUGUUUGAGGGGCCGGAUCCGGCUCACACUAGCAUUGCCCUCCAAAUCCAAUCCAUGGCGUCCGAACCCCAAUCGUCCUCGGAGGGCGACCACCCAGACCUGAAGGAAGACGAUGGUGCGGUGGACUUGGAGAUGGAGGAUCCCACCGGCGGAAGCAGCAGCACCGGCAGGCUGCUGUACAAGCUUCCGGCGAGGAUAUCAGGGAUGCUUUAUCCCCACCAGCGCCAGGGGCUUGGCUGGCUUUGGUUUCUGCAUUGCAGGGGGACGGGUGGAAUCCUCGGCGAUGACAUGGGACUGGGGAAGACCAUGCAGGUAGGAGAAGCUUACGUUGCAUCUGUUCUACAAUCCACUCCCCACAAUAUUAGUUUUCGGAGGACGCUAGUCGGAAAUCGUUGGGAGGCUUGGCUCCACCUUGUUAGACGUUUAAUGGAGGUUCGGCUGACCCAGCAACCAGAUCAGCUGCAUUGGAAACUUACUAAGAACGGUGCGGCCACGGCAUUCAUCCGUAUGUGGUUGCUACUCACUCCGACGGAGGCCAGGGAGCGUUUGGAGGGCGGUGUAGUAUUGACAACAUAUGACAUCGUCCGGAUAAAUUACAAACUGAUAAGGGGUGACUUCUACCAUGAAGCCGAUGAUGAGGAGGAGAGAAACCUAUGGGACUAUGCUGUUCUUGAUGAGGCAUUCCAAAGCAUAUGUGACAUACCAUGUGUCCAUCGGAUUGCCAUCAGUGGCACACCUAUACAAAAUAACUUGAAGGAUGCCACAAAUCGAGAGAAGCACAUUGGCUCAGACGUAGCUAAGACAAAUGGGAAAACACUUGCUAAGAAGAAUGAGCUAAUUAUCUGGCUGAAAUUAACAGAUUGCCAGAGGCAACUAUAUGAAGCUUUUCUGAAGAGUGAUAUACUUAACACAAUGCGACCUCCCUUGCCUCACAUCACGAUAUUGAAGAAAAUAUGUGAUCACCCACUGAUACUGACAAAGAUAGCCGCUGAGGGCACCUUGGAAGGCAUAGAAGACAUGGACGGAAAGUUAAAUGGUCAUGAUAUGGUUAGGCUUGAAAAAAUGGCCCUGAACCUAGCUGGUAUGUCCUAUGAUGAUGAUGAUGAUGAUGCACUGCAAGUCGGGCAGGAAGUCUCAUGCAAAUUAUCUUUCAUGUCCUUGUUGCGAAAUCUUCUUGAAGAGGGACACCAUGUUCUAAUUUUUUCUCAGACUUGCAAAAUGCUAAACCAUGUUCAGCAAGUUAUAUCAGUAGAGGGCUACAAGUUUUUUCGCAUCUAUGGUACCACCAAGAUCUCAGAGAGGGAAAGGAUUGUGAAGGAUUUCCAGGAGGGUUCUGGAACUCCAAUAUUUUUACUGACUACCAAAGUCGGUGGUCUUGGACUUACACUCACCAAGGCAGAUCGCGUCAUAGUAGUCGACCCUGCUUGGAAUCCAAGUGUCGACAGUCAGGCUGGCGAUCGUGCUUAUCGAAUUGGACAGACAAAAGAUGUGAUUGUAUACCGCUUGAUGACAGCUGGAACUGUUGAAGAACAGAUAUAUAGAAUGCAGGUCUUCAAGUGGGGUUUGUUUAGGACAGCCACUGAGCAGAAAGAACAAACACGCUACUUCAACCAGAGGGACAUUCAGGAGCUUCUUAGCCUACCGGCACAAGGUUUUGACAUCUCCCCUACGCAAAAGCAAUUGCAAAAAGAGCAUGAACAUCAGCUUGACAUGGAUGAGUCACUGAGGCAGCACAUAGAGAUUCUAGAGCAGCAAGGAAUAGCCGGUGUGAGCCACCACAGCCUCCUGUAUUCCAAGACAGAGGUCUUGCCAGCUUUGACCAAACAGGAUUAUAUCAUCAACUUUAUCAUCUUCCUUAUUUUCUUCAAUUCUGAGAGUGCGGAUAUGCAAGUAGGGAGCGGGCCGGUCAACUUGUUAUUGCUAGCAUCAAAUGUCAUAAGUAUCAGACUGUCACAUAACUUCUCAGGAAUUUUCCCAGCGAUUUCAUUAUCACUGAGCAAUAGAUAUGACGUUGGCAGAAAUAGAUCACUGCAAAAAAAGUUUAAAUAG
rnacentral:rRNA from 1 species